ensembl:lncRNA
GGCCAGCCAUGGGGCUGCUGCUCCGUAGCCUCCUGCUGUUGGCUCCAGGGGGUCUGCGGUUCUCCUCCGGCCAGGUGCAGCUGGAGGGCUUGGUGGGUGAGUCCGUGUAUUUCCCCGCCCUGCGCCCCGUGGCCAGAGACAUCGUCCGUGUCCUGUGGUUUUCAGAAAGGCAGGGCACUCACAUCGCAGAGGCCAAACCCCAGGGCCAGGCGUUCAACGUCAAUUUCUUACCCAACUUCAGCAACCGGCUGGCGAUCCACGCCGGGAACCUCUCCCUGGAGAUCUGUGAUCUGCGGCUGGAAGAUCAGGGGCUGUACCGCGCCGUUGUGGAUAUUGCCUCAGACCCUACCAAGCCCAGGGCAUUCUCCUAUGAGCUGUCAGUGCGAGAACGUGGGCAGGAAGGAGACAGGGGCAAAGGAGGAACCACGGAUCGGCCAGGAGGCGGAGAACGGAGGACAUCGACGGGCCCCCCAGCAGAAGGAGUGCCUGUGACCACAAGCGGGAGGACAACGCUGGCGGGAGGGGAUGGGGGAGGGCAGGAGAGCGGUGAGAGCCAGGGAUCGUGCCACUGCACGCUGAAGGGUUAUGUCAUCGCGGCCGUCUAUGUGCCCCUCUGUGCCAUGGUAGCUAUCGUCCACGUGAAGACGAGGGGCUGACGGAAGAGCCGGGGUCCCUGGGUGACAGAAGAGACAGGGCAGGUGCUGGGGCAGGAAGGGCAGCCACAUGUCUGGGGCAAUCGCCUCUUUGUUCAUCCUCUGUAAAUACCCUCUCCAGUACCCCCUAGAAACUCCCUCCCAGUACACACACAUCCCUCUAGCACUCCCUAAAUACCCUCUCCAGUACCCCCCAGGUAUCGCCUCCAGCAUCCCCAGAAACCCCCUCCCAGUACACACAUCCCUCCAGCACUCCUAAAUACCCCCUCUAGUACUCCUCCAGGUACCACCUCCAGCAGCCCCAAAAUACCCCCUCCAGUACCCCCCAGGUACCUCCUCCAGUUCCUCUCAGAUACAGCCUCCAGGUACCCCCUACCAGUACACACACAACCCUCCAGCACCUCCUAAAUACCCCUUCCAGUACUCCCCCCAGGUACCUCCUCCAGUACCCCCCACAUACCACGUCCAGCACCCCCCAGGUACCCCCUCUCAAGACGCACACCCCUCCAGCACCUCCUAAAUAUCCCCUCAAAUACCACCUCCAGCACCUUUCCAGGUAUCCCCUCAAGCACCCCCCCGGUACCUCCUCCCAGUACACACACACCCCUCCAGCAGCCCCAAACUGUACCCUCCCCUCCAGCUCCCUCUCGCCCACUCCCAGGAGUGCCCUCUGUUGGGAAACUGGCAGCCGCUAACCCUAGGGGCAGGGGGCUUGUUUGGAGAGCCCUGGGCCAUGGUACUGGUGUUUGUACUGCAACAGCUCUAACUCAUCAUGCCGGAUGCUGCUCAGACACAUCGUGGAGAUGGUCCCUGCCCUGAAGCGUCCUCUGCCUGAACAGACAAAGGGUCAUUAUUGCCAUGUCCGGGCUCUAUAGACAAAGGGCAGGAGGGGAAACUGAGGCACAGAGAGGGGAUGGUCACCCAGCCGAUCACUGGCAGCACCAGGACUAGAAGUCAGGAGAGUGUUCUGGCCACUGGAGGCGCUCACUCGGUCCUGUAGUCUAUAGCUACCUCCCAUGGAGCCCAACAGGACUACUCCUUUAUAUCCUUCUGGUCCAAGUCCACCACUAUCUAAAAUGAUGGGGUCUAAAUUAGCUGUUACCACUCACAAAAGAGAUCGUGGAGUCAGUGUGGAUAGUUCUCUGAAAACAUCCACCCAAUGUGCAGUGGCAGUCAAAAAAGCAAACAGAAUGCUGGGAAUAAUUAAGAAAGGGAUAGAUAAUAAGACAGAAAAUCAAUUCAGUUCAAUUCCUUUUCAUUCCCAGGGAAGCAGUGAGAUCUGUAGGCCAGAGCAGGGGAGGAGGGGAGAGAUUCGGGAGUCCUGGAGUUGGCAUGAGCAGUUCCACUUUCACCCCUGAGCGAGUCACCUCCCCAAUUUUCUGUGCCUCAGUUUCCACUGCUGUCAAAUGGAUGCUCUGAUGUGUUUACCUGCCCUCCCAAGGGUGCUGAGCAGCUGGACCAAUGAGCAUCCAUCAAGCACUGCAUGCUCCUCACAAUAAAAGCCCAGC